CCCAAAAUCAACACAAAACCCUUUAUUACUACUGAAUGACCCCAUAACCCUAUGGGGGACCUCAUGCUAGAACUAGUAACAAGAAUUAGAUAUUCUCCAAAAUGCACGUGUACGCCAUAAUGAACCACUCACCGGCAAUUACCGCCAAUGAACCAAAAGUAAUAACCCACCAAGAAAACUUUACUUAACAAAGCGUUAACCUAACACAAGAGCAUUUCCAGAAAGAUUAAAAGAGCGGGAAGGAACUCGGCAAAUAUUAGCCUCGCCUGUUUACCAAAAACAUCGCCUCCUGACUUAUUAUAGGAGGUCCAGCCUGCCCAGUGACCCAGUUAAACGGCCGCGGUACCCUAACCGUGCGAAGGUAGCGCAAUCACUUGUUCUUUAAAUGAGGACUAGUAUGAAUGGCAUCACGAAGGCUACACUGUCUCCCCCCUCCAAUCAGUGAAACUGAUCUCCCCGUGAAGAAGCGGGGAUAAAACCAUAAGACGAGAAGACCCCAUGGAGCUUAAAACUCAGUUUCACCUGCACACCAAUAUAUCACAUCAACCCUGCAGACCUGCUUACUAGUUUUCGGUUGGGGUGACCAUGGAGCAAAACAAAACCUCCACGACGAAAGGACAUCUCCCUAAUCCAAGAGCAACAACUCUAAGAAUCAAAAAAUUGACGUUACUUGAUCCAAGUUUAUUUGAUCAACGAACCAAGUUACCCUGGGGAUAACAGCGCAAUCCAUUUCAAGAGCUCCUAUCGACAAAUGGGUUUACGACCUCGAUGUUGGAUCAGGGUAUCCUAGUGGUGCAGCCGCUACUAAAGGUUC
rnacentral:rRNA from 1 species